rnacentral:rRNA from 1 species
CACGGGGGGAGCAAGCGUUGUUCGGAAUCACUGGGCGUAAAGGGCGUGUAGGCGGUCAGGUAAGUGGGAUGUGAAAGCCCUCGGCUCACCCGAGGAUCUGCAUCUCAAACUGCCUGGCUUGAGUAUGGGAGAGGAUGAGGGAAUUCCUGGUGUAGCGGUGAAAUGCGUAGAUAUCUGGAGGAACACCGGUGGCGAAGGCGGCGACCUGGUCCUUUUACUGACGCUGAGGCGCGAAAGCGUGGGGAGCAAACAGG